AGAUGAGCAGAGUUAUCAAGUAGAAAUUGCAGCUGAGAACAAUCUGGUAGAAACCUAAUCUAAGCAUUAGAGCUUGGAGCUGCUUGUAGUCGCCAAGCAAAGUGGAUCUAUUGGUGCAAUCCUGCUGUCCGAGUUGUGAAGUAGGGCUGAAGCUGAUACUUCGAGUCGACGACACAUUGAUUACGGUAGAGACCGUUCUAGUUCGAUUGGCACUGAGUCGCGAGUAUUAGUCGUCGACGCAUUCCGAGACGUGAAUUCCAGUUGUUGACACCACUUCAGGU